rfam:Glarea lozoyensis ATCC 20868 chromosome Tnknown GLAREA8, whole genome shotgun sequence.
GUUGCGGUACCAGAGUGGUCAAAUGGGCAAGCUUUCGUGCUUGAGGCGUUGGUUCGAAUCCAACCCGCGGCA